rnacentral:rRNA from 1 species
UACAGAGGGUGCGAACGUUGCUCGGAAUUAUUGGGCGUAAAGCGCACGUAGGCGGUUUGUUAAGUUGGAUGUGAAAACCCCGGGCUCAACCCUGGAAGUGCAUCCAAAACUGGCAAGCUAGAGUGUCGGAGGGGGUCGGAGAAUUCCCGGUGUAGAGGUGAAAUUCGUAGAUAUCGGGAGGAACAUCUGUGGCGAAGGCGCCGACCUGGACGACAACUGACGCUGAGGUGCGAAAGCAUGGGGAGCAAACAGG